rnacentral:lncRNA from 1 species
CUGUAAACUAACCUUUUUAUUGCAACAGGUUCCUUUUAAAUGAUCCAGUGUAAUAACUACUGCUUGUGUCUUCUAUGUCUCACAUUAUGUGUUCUUUUAAAUUGUGGUAUAUAGCCUGAAUCAGACAUCAUGGACAAAAGGUUUUUACCUGUGUUACUAAGGGCUCUUGGAGACUGACCGGUCUAAAGGUUUGCCAUGCCUUUAAAACAUGGUACAGUAUAAAUUUUUAAGUCUCUGAGAGUUCUGAAAGAUUCAGGUGAAACCAUGUCUGUUUAAUCUGGUCCAGAUGUUUGUUCAAUUUCUAUAGGAUUUAAGUUGAUGCAGCAUCAUCUCAGAUUAGUUAAUGGAAGUUUUAGACAAAUAGUUGAGUUAUGAGCGCGCUAUAUAAAUGGAUCCUUUCUUUAAAUACAAUACUAUAGUAGAUUAAAGUAAUGAAGUUAAUUAAGAAAAUGUAUACAUAAGAAUCCCUAAAAUAAAUCUAAACUAAAAUUGGUAUACUUUCCAAUAAUAUGUUCUGAAUACAGCUGUUAACUCUUUAUUUUGUGUAAAUGGUGAUUGUGAUAAUGUGUGAUAAGUGUGCAGUUUAACUUGAAAGUGGUUUAAUUUAUGUUGCUGUAUUGUUUAAAUUAUAUGUGAAUCAGUUUGUCACAGUCUAGUGAUACUGAUAAGAAUGACAACCAAAUAACCUAGCAAAUAACUGUUUUAUUAGUUGUUGAAUACUAGCGUUUUGGCCAAGAAUAGUUGGAGAUUUGGAGGUGUUAAAGAUUGCUUUUAUAUUGUGUCUAUCUGUGUUUCCUAGGAGGGAGACAGAGUGUGUAGUUGUGUGCCCAUAAAUGUGAUUUCUGUAUUGGCAUAUCUGCUGGGUACCCAUUAUGUGUUUCUACAAAGAUAUUGUUUUAUGAGAUGACUAAUAUUACAUGGGAUGCUGAGUAUGAGUUAUAUGGUUUGAAAUGAAUUGGUGAUUAUGAGCUUAGUACUUCAGUAAGAUGUGCUAAAAUUUGGAACAAGGUGGAAGCUGAAAUGUUGGGAUUAUGGAAGAAUAAGCAGUCUAUAUUCACUGCUUUGGCAUUUAAGCGGGAUGCAAAGGAAGAGAUUGGUAAUAUGAUUUUUGUAAAGAAAUUUUACAAGUGUUGGAAGGAUGAGGCAGGUUUGAUGUCUGGAGAUGAUAUAGAUCUCUUUAAAUACAGUCAUGCCUUGGUAAUAUGUUGCCACAGUAUUCUUUGCUUGUGAAACAAUUGAUCAGACUGGGCCAAUUUGGAUAGCUCAGAUUUUCUUACCAAGGUUAUAGAAAAGGAAAAUGCAGGUUGUUUUGAAUUAAGAAAAGAUUUAGGAAAGUAAGGUUGCUUAUUAUGCUCAGGGAUUGCAACAUAUUAUGUCCAGCUACACAGGCUGAGAGCGAGGAUGGGAUGGAGCACAUAAAGCCAGUGGAAGGGGUGGUCAAAGAGGGGCAAGGGGAUGGAGACAGGGAAAUCAGGGUUAUAGGGGCAGGGGUAACCAAGGAGGAAUAGACAGGAACACUUGUUUCAACUGUGGCCAAUAUGGCCACUGGAGGAAUGAGUGUCCACACCCCAGGAAACCCCACACACCCCAACAACCCCACAAUUCUCAAAAUAUGCCCGGUAGGCAAGAACAACACCAGACCCACUCCCAACACCACUGGCCAGCAUAUCGCUUAGUUCAGGACUUUAGAGCCCUGAAUAGUUUAAUUGUGCCCAUUUCACCCAUUGUCCCUGAUGUGACAUCCCUCAUUACAGCCAUUCCACAUGAUGCCACUUGCUUCACUGUCAUUGAUUUAAGUAAUGCAUUUUUUUCUAUACCUAUUGAUCAAGAGACACAGCUACUUAUGGUUUUUACUUUUUGAAGGCUGUCAGUUUACCUGGACACGCUUACCCAAGGCUAUGUGGAUUCCCCAGCUGUUUAUUCGUUGGUACUCCAACAUACUCUAAAAAACAUG